rnacentral:rRNA from 1 species
CAGCAGCCGCGGUAAUACGUAAGGGGCGAGCGUUGUUCGGAUUUAUUGGGCGUAAAGAGUAUGUAGGCGGAUAAGUAGGCUUUAUGAUAAAGGUCGUAGCUCAACUACGGUGUAUUGUAAAGAACCACUUGUCUUGAGUUGUGGAGAGGGAACUGGAAUUCCUGGUGUAGGGGUGAAAUCCAUAGAUAUCAGGAAGAACACCAGAGGCGAAGGCGAGUUCCUAGCCAAUAACUGACGCUGAGAUACGAAAGCGAACGGGAUUAGAUACCCCGGUAGUCCAUGCCGUAAACGAUGUGCACUAGGUAAUGGGUUGUAUAAAUUCAUUGCCGUAGCUAACGCGUUAAGUGCACCGCCUGGGAAGUAUGCCGGCAACGGUGAAACUCAAAGGAAUUGACGGGGGCCCGCACAAGCGGUGGAGCAUGUGGUUUAAUUCGAUGAUACGCGAGGAACCUUACCAGGGUUUGACAUAUACUGGAAAUUACAAGAGACUGUAAUGUCCUUCGGGACCAGUAAACAGGUGCUGCAUGGCUGUCGUCAGCUCGUGCCG